rnacentral:rRNA from 1 species
UACGUAGGCAGCAAGCGUUGUUCGGAAUUACUGGGCGUAAAGAGUGUGUAGGCGGUUUUCUAAGUUCGGUGUGAAAUCUCCCGGCUUAACUGGGAGGGUGCGCCGGAAACUGGAGGACUGGAGUGCCGGAGAGGAUAGCGGAAUUCCUGGUGUAGCGGUGAAAUGCGUAGAUAUCGGGAGGAACACCUGUGGCGAAAGCGGCUCACUGGACCACAACUGACGCUGAGGCGCGAAAGCUAGGGGAGCAAACAGG